rnacentral:rRNA from 1 species
UGAAGCAACAAAUGCCCUGCUUCCAGGAAAAGCCUCUAAGCAUCAGGUAACAUCAAAUCGUACCCCAAACCGACACAGGUGGUCAGGUAGAGAAUACCAAGGCGCUUGAGAGAACUCGGGUGAAGGAACUAGGCAAAAUGGUGCCGUAACUUCGGGAGAAGGCACGCUGACACGUAGGUGAAGUGAUUUACUCACGGAGCUGAAGUCAGUCGAAGAUACCAGCUGGCUGCAACUGUUUAUUAAAAACACAGCACUGUGCAAACACGAAAGUGGACGUAUACGGUGUGACGCCUGCCCGGUGCCGGAAGGUUAAUUGAUGGGGUCAGCGCAAGCGAAGCUCCUGAUCGAAGCCCCGGUAAACGGCGGCCGUAACUAUAACGGUCCUAAGGUAGCGAAAUUCCUUGUCGGGUAAGUUCCGACCUGCACGAAUGGCGUAAUGAUGGCCAGGCUGUCUCCACCCGAGACUCAGUGAAAUUGAACUCGCUGUGAAGAUGCAGUGUACCCGCGGCAAGACGGAAAGACCCCGUGAACCUUUACUAUAGCUUGACACUGAACAUUGAGCCUUGAUGUGUAGGAUAGGUGGGAGGCUUUGAAGUGUGGACGCCAGUCUGCAUGGAGCCGACCUUGAAAUACCACCCUUUAAUGUUUGAUGUUCUAACGUGGACCCGUAAUCCGGGUUGCGGACAGUGUCUGGUGGGUAGUUUGACUGGGGCGGUCUCCUCCUAAAGAGUAACGGAGGAGCACGAAGGUUGGCUAAUCCUGGUCGGACAUCAGGAGGUUAGUGCAAUGGCAUAAGCCAGCUUGACUGCGAGCGUGACGGCGCGAGCAGGUGCGAAAGCAGGUCAUAGUGAUCCGGUGGUUCUGAAUGGAAGGGCCAUCGCUCAACGGAUAAAAGGUACUCCGGGGAUAACAGGCUGAUACCGCCCAAGAGUUCAUAUCGACGGCGGUGUUUGGCACCUCGAUGUCGGCUCAUCACAUCCUGGGGCUGAAGUAGGUCCCAAGGGUAUGGCUGUUCGCCAUUUAAAGUGGUACGCGAGCUGGGUUUAGAACGUCGUGAGACAGUUCGGUCCCUAUCUGCCGUGGGCGCUGGAGAACUGAGGGGGGCUGCUCCUAGUACGAGAGGACCGGAGUGGACGCAUCACUGGUGUUCGGGUUGUCAUGCCAAUGGCACUGCCCGGUAGCUAAAUGCGGAAGAGAUAAGUGCUGAAAGCAUCUAAGCACGAAACUUGCCCCGAGAUGAGUUCUCCCUGAGACUUAGAGUCUCCUGAAGGAACGUUGAAGACGACGACGUUGAUAGGCCGGGUGUGUAAGCGCAGCGAUGCGUUGAGCUAACCGGUACUAAUGAACCGUGAGGCUUAACCUU